GCAGCCAUCAUUUAAAGAAAGCGUAAUAGCUCACUGGUCGAGUCGGCCCGCGCGGAAGAUGUAACGGGGCUAAACCAUGCACCGAAGCUGCGGCAGCGACACAAAGUGUUGUUGGGUAGGGGAGCGUUCUGUAAGCCUGCGAAGGUGUACUGUGAGGUAUGCUGGAGGUAUCAGAAGUGCGAAUGCUGACAUAAGUAACGAUAAUGCGG
rnacentral:rRNA from 1 species